rnacentral:rRNA from 1 species
GACGAACGCUGGCGGCAUGCCUAACACAUGCAAGUCGAACGCAACCUUCAUGUCGUAGCUCGCUCCGCUACAGAACGCGUGUUACCAAGCGGUGAGUUACGCGUAGGUAACCUGCAUGGUAUCGUGGGACCACUUAAUGUCUCGGUAGCUAAUACCGCUUACUAUUAGUUAUUCCAUGGUUAUUUAUUCUAAUGUGUAAUUGCACAACCAACCGAUGGAACUAUGUUGUAUUAGCUAGUAAGUGAGGUAACUGCCCACCUAGGCGACGAAACAUAGCCGACCUGAGAGGGUGAUCGGCCACACUGGGACGGAGACACGGCCCAGACUCCUACGAGAGGCAGCAGUAGGGAAUCUUCGGCAAUGGACGAAAGUCUGACCGAGCAACGCCGCGUGAGUGAAGAAUGUUGUCGGAUCGUAAAGGUCUGUUGUAAGAGAAGAUCGGGUGGGAGAGUGGAAAGUUCACACUGUGACGGUAUCUGACCAGAAAGGGACGGCUAACUACGUG